UCGGCAAGGCACGAUUCCUGCCACCAGGAACCAGCACCUUCUACUUGCCGUUGGAGAUGUGAACUCUCAAUUACUGCUCCUGCCAACACACCUGCUGUUGCUGCCAAGCUACUCCACCAUAGGGGGCUCUUAAUCCUCUGAAAUUGUCUUGGAAAUUCUACAAGGUACAUCCAUCUCCCUGUCAUUGUAGAUCUAGCAUCAAGAAAAUGAAACAUUAUGGCAUACUAUUAUUAUUAUUAUUAUUAUUUGGAUAAGAAAUUAAACUUGAUAAUGAAGGAAGAUGAGGAAGGUCCAAAGAUGAAACAUCCAAACCAACUUAAAGAAGAUGUUUAGAAAGAUCUAUUUGGGUCUUAACUGGGGCCAUCCUCACUGACUCUGGAACUGACAGCAGGGUAGGAGAGAAUGGACCUGUGUAGGCCCAAACUAGGCCCUUUGAACAUGGAUGACAGUUGUGUGGCUUCAUCAGUUUGUGGGACCACUGGUAGUGGGCCCAGGAUUUAUUUCUAGUGCUUGAACUGGCUUUUUGGAGCUCAAUCUCUUUGGAGGGAUACGUUGAUCAGCCUAGAUAUAGGGAAGAGGGCCUUAGUCCUGCCUCAAAGUGAUGUGACAGACUUUGUUGACUCCCCAUGGGAAUCCUUGCCCUCUCUGUGGAGUGAAUGGGUGCAGGGUGGAGGGAAGGUAGGGGCAGCAAGAGGAGGAGGGGAAAGUGGGAACUGGGAUUGGUAUGUAAAAUGAGAAAAAAUGUUUUAAAAUAAAAAAUGAUAAAAGAAA